UGGGACCUGAUAGGUCAUCUGCUGUGGCCUGAGCCAGAGGAAGGCGGAGGGUGAUCUUGGAUAGGACAGCUGAGAAGAAUCAAGCUCACUCCCUCCCAGCAGCCACCUAGUAGACACAGCUCUCUAUGCAGGCCAGGCUGGUCUUCUACUUGGGGUCUUCCUGCCUCUGCCUCCCGAAUGCUGAGAUGACAAGGGCUUGCUACCACACUCGGCUGGGCUCUGGUGCACUCAUAUGAAUGUUCUAACAUUGGAGACCAGGCUGCUGUCCGGGCUUAUUGGAUGGGGCGUUGGGUCCCUUCAAGGAGAGUUUCUCUGAAACAGGUGAAGGAGGCUAUUGCAGCUUAUAUCCCAGAUGCCUACCCAGUGCAUGGGACACAGACGGUGGAGGCGAAUGUUUGCUGGGUAAAACCAUUGUCGAUCGGGAAUGGAACCCACUCCAGUCUGAGAACCACCAUGAAGAUCUGCAGAGCUGUAUAAAGGCAUCAAGAAGGCAACAUUAGGACAAGCUACUCUGCUUGGGGACAGGCAGGGAUGGGGCCAGACUGCCACUCUCCUCCCUGUUUCUGAAACAAGCACCUUGCUGUUGGAUCUUACUGGAAAGAACAUCCACCAUUCUCCUCCUGUGGCCACUUCGAUGCUCUGAGCCACCAUCACCCUUCAUCUGGCUCCUGCUGCCUGCCCAGCCUCCACAGUCUUUGCUCCUGAAGCCAAAACUGACACCAAAUAUUCUUUCUCUGCACACAGCUCUCCUGUGAUAAUGAAGUGUUCUCAGAGUCAAGGCUAGAAUCCUUUAAAAAUAUUUAUUUUUCAUUUUCAUUGGUAUAUAUUCAUUACACACGAUACUGGGUUACAUAAAGCCAUUUUCAUACACGUAUAUACUGUAUAUUGAGCAUAUUCCCCGAAUACCCCUUAUUUUCUCUGCUCCUCUUAGUCUUCUUUGUCCCCCCAGACAGUUUCAUUUCUAUUUUCAUAUCAUACAUACAUUCAUGAUUUUAUCUAUAUAAAAUCUAGGGCUCACAAAAUAAGGGGGAAAAAGCCAUGCAAUACCCAGGUUGCUUCUAUAACAUACCUGUGGUGAUUAAUGCCGCACUCAGCACUGAUGUACAAGUGUGCCUGUGGUGUGUUCAUGUUCAGGUAAAUACCCGGGAGAGGCAUAGCUGGGUCAUAUGGUUUGUAUAUUCCCAGUGCUUUUUUCCUUUUAGUCAAGGCUAGAAUCUUUCCAAUGCCCCGGGAUCCAACCCCCAUGAUGAUGCUGACUUCACCUCCUAUCUCCACCAUAACCCUGUUGGCUUUCUUAUGUGCCUGACAACAGAGCUGCUCAAUUCCUGCCUCAGGAAUUUUGCACUUGCUGCUGUCUCUGUACUUUUUUUAAUAGAGUCCAUUAAAUUAAAGUCUGAGCCGCA